rnacentral:lncRNA from 1 species
AACCUUCCGAGCUCUGGGCUGUGUUAUGUCCACGUCUGCAUGAUCAAACUGAGGCUCAGACAAGAUGAGCCUUGUCCUGUGGUUCCCAGAGUAAUUAAGUGGGGAAAGCCCAGGCUGGCUGUAUCUGGGCAGCCCCUUGUCUUCAUGGCUUCUCAGCUGUAUUAUUAUUGAUCUUUCUAAACUCAGAUUUUUCUCUUUGUUUCCUUUGGGAAAAGCUGAAGUACAAACUCAAGUAAACAAUGGAAUAAAUAUCUUCUAGGCAUGAGCUUGUCCUUUUAUUACCAAACAACUUUGCCCUGUGUGGCUAGGAAGUUAUGGUCCAGGAUCCAGGCAGGAGAACAUCUCAACAGUCAGAAGAGCCUGAGCUUCCUGGAACAUAACAGAUAUCGGCCAGGCUGAAAAAUGGGACUUGAGGAGUAAGAUAAAUUGGAGAAGAAAGGAACGUGGUGUCUCAAAAGAUAAAAUAAGAGGGCAAAUUAUCUCAGAUUUUAAACAGAAUAAUUUUUAUUACCAGUUUUGGCUUAUUAUAGUCCAAAUGGUACAAAUUAUACAUCAGCUUCAGUGAUCUAGCCUGUGGCUAUCCAGCUGGCCUAAAAUUACUCUGUGUGUGUGUUUGUGUAAAGAUAGACACAGAAAUAGACACAAAUACACCUAAAUACCAAAAAGUGGAAUGAAACUUUUAAGGGGAAGCACAAUAUAUGACCACAGAAGACAUAGAAGUUUUAAGUCUAUUUCCAUUACUUCUGAGAAAGCAAGUAACCAAAUCUGACAUCAACUUCUAUUUGGAAAGCUUCAUUCUGUAAGACCAUCUGUGGACUGGUCAGUACUUCAGGACAGCUUCAAAGAGUUCGUCCUUCUGUUGUACUUCGUAUUAAGGAGGUUUCCAUGGUGAGUUGUGGGAAUGAUUUCAUGCAAGAUGACAAUUGGAAAAAACACAAGAGUUAUAUGCUGUGCCUGAAUCUAGUCAUUAAAAGGAAGUCCAUUGGCCUGUAUCUUAGGUUAAAUGGAUGUAGGACAACAUAAAUCAGGAAGUAUAGUAAGUAGGACUUUGGUAAAGUUUAAUUUAUGACCAUCUUGCUUUCACUAUUGAAUGUUUAUACCACUGGUGAUCACAGAUAUAUCAUUCAUAUAAGAUUGUUAAGUGCUGAAGUGACUUACCGAAAUUCAGGUAUGACUUGCUCAAAAUGGGAAACCCAUUCUCAGGAAAGUAUGAGCUGUAUUAAAAAAACAAAAGCACUAGCUGUAAUAGCUCUUCUGAGUUGUAGAAUUUCCUUUGACAGAAAACAAAAUCAACAAAAUUAUCUUUCUUUACGCAUUUGGGGAAGAAGGCAUGUCAACUAUUUGCAAGGUUAUGUAAAAAUGUCUUGCUGUUCAUUAAUUACUACUCUUCUGCACUGAAGUCAUUUUCCCUUUAAUGCAUGUUUUUUCCCAGAAAAAAAUAUAAAGGACAAAUGUGUCAAUUUGUUAGCAAUUUGGGCAAUAUCUCUGUUUUAAUUUUAUUCUUAAACAGACUAAUUUAACAAGAAGUUUUAGAUGAUAAUUUAAAGAAUAGGACUUCUUUUAGAAGAAAUAAAACCUAUUCUAACAAUUGAAACACAUCUUUCCCUAAAUGGAGCUCCUGCUUCUUGUCUCUCCUGUUGUGUGGAUAUCACAGAUACUGCUCCUCGCAUCAUCUUGAGGAACACCUUGGAUCAUCACCAUCAUGGCUAUGGUUUUGCCUGCAGAUUAUUGCAUCUUAGAUAUUAGCCAUUCAUAAUUGAGAUAACAGAAGGUGUGUGGCUCAAGGCUUUCCUAUUUUUUAUUCCUUAUCCAAGAGUUCAUCUAUUCUACAUGUAUGUGUGGAACUUAUGAAUUGACCUUUCCAGGGGUAUGGCUUUCCUCUACACAUUGUGUGGGCAGUUCGUAUCCAUGCUUGUUCCCUUCACAGUCCACAGCAAGAAAACUAUCUCAGUGUUCCCGAUCUUACUGCCUCAGGAAGCAUGAAAGCUUAGGGAGCAUUUUAAUUAAAUGUUGCCCAAAGCCUUUAUUCUUGCUGAGAAAGUAAACAAAGCUUAAACAGCCCCUAUCAGAAAAAGCCUCUUCCUUAAAUGUUUGUGUUUGUGUGUGUAUGUUUGUGUUUUUUUUUUUUAAUUGUGCUUUACCUUCUUCUGUUUAUUCUGAAGUAUUAGGGACUUUUUUUUUUUCCCAGCUAUGUGUUUUAAAUACUAAUAUAGUCAAUUGAUUAGAAGUUCCUUUUAAAAGGACGUUACGAGUGUCUGCUUCAUUUAAGGCAUCAGUGGACACAGCAGCUAGUGGAGAUUGCUGAUUAUUACUUGGCUGUGACCCUACCAGAGACUGUUCCUCUCCAUUCCCUGUCCCUCAAUACAGGGUGUGGGGGGAGGUCUCUCGUUCCCUCCAGAUCUACUGUUUCCAGUUGAAAAUAUAUUGCCUUUUAAAGAAAUAUCUUUGUCGGGCACCUGGGUGGCUUAGCGCUUGAGCGUCUGCCUUCGGUUCGGGUCGUGAUCCUGGGGUCCUUGUAUCGAGUCAUCAGGCUCCCCGUGGGGAACCUGCUUCUCCCUCUGCCUAUGUCUCUGCCUCUCUCCAUGUCUCUCAUGAAUACAUAAGUAAAAUCUUAAAAAAAAUAAAGAAGAAAUAUCUUUGUAAUAAUAGCCCAAUUCUUGCUCACAUCUUAAUUUUUUCCCUUUCAUGUUAUUGUUCACAUGUAAAUUAAUUACUUUCAAGAAAUCUUGCUGCAUUUAUGUUAAAUGAUAGCAUUUUUUAUUGUUUUUAUUUUAAUUCUAGUAUAGUUAACACACAGUGUUGUACUUGUUUCAGGUGUACUAUAUAGUGAUUUAACACUUACAUACAAUCCCUAGUGCUCAUCACGACCAGUGUCCUCCUUAAUCCACAUCACUUAUUAAACCCAUCACCUUGUGGGUGACAUACCCUCUGGUGACCAUCAGUUUGUUCCCUGUAGUUAACUCCCUGUUUUUCCUAGCUUGUUUCUCUCUUUCUUUUUUUUUUUUUUUCCUUUCCUCAUUUGUUUUAUUUCUUAAAUUCCACAUGUAUUGCUGACUGGCUUUUUUGCUUACUGUUGUAUUCUCUACAUCUAUCCAUAUUGCAAACUGCAAAAUUCCAUUCUUUUUUUGUGGCUGAGUAAUAUUCCAUUGUGUAUCCACACCACCUCUUCUUUGUCCCUUCAUCUGUUGAUGAAUACUCAGGUUGCUUCAAUAGUUUUGCUAUUGUAAAAGAUGCUAUAGUAAACAUAGGGAUACAUAUAUCCCUUUGAAUCAGUGUUUUUGUAUUUUUUGGGUGAAUACCAGAAAUGUAAUUACUAGAUCAUAGGUAGCUCUAUUUUUAAUGUUUUGAUGAAUCCCCCCACUGUUUUCCACAGUGGCUACACCAAUUUGCAUUCCCACCACUAGUAUAUGAGGCUUUCUUUUCUCUAUAUCCUUGCCAAUACUUGUUGUUUCUUAUGUUGUUGAUUUUAGCCAUUCUGACAGGUGUGAGGUGAUAUCUCAUUGUGGUUUUGAUUUCCAUUUCCCUGAUGAUGAGUGAUGUUUAGCAUCUUUACAUAUGUCUGUUGGCCAUCUGGAUGUCUUCUUUGGAGAAAUGUCUGUUCAUGUCUUCUGCCCAUUUUUAAAUUAGAUUACUUGUUUUUUGGUGUUGAGUCCUAUAAGUUAUUUAUAUGUUUCGGAUACUAGCUCUCUAUUGGAUAUGUCAUUUGCAAACAUCUUCUCCCAGUCAAUAGGUUGCCUUUUAGUAUUGUUGAUUGUUUCCUUUGUUGAAUGGUUUCCCCAAGGGUGGUCCCCAGAGGUCCCUUUUCGGGACCUGUCACCCAGCCCUGUACCAGGACCCUGUCACAGACUUCCCCUAUGCCACUGCUUAAGCUUUCAAGAUCAUUUGUGAGGCCUACAAGAAGUACAUCACUGCCCACAGACUGCUGCCCACUGCCUCGCUCCCGAGCCCCUCCCUCAUUCUGGGCCCCAAGCCUUGUGCCAGAAAAUCGUUGUCAAAUAAGUAAAUGUUUAAUCCUUAGAAACCUCUUUCCUGCCCUGAAUCGGGGCUCUUCAUGUUUUUCCCUCUCUCCCUGUUUCUCCCCUUUGACAGCUCUGAGAUUCGCCCAUCCCUUUUCUAUAUUUCUUUCCCCCCAGUUCCUACUGAUUUUGUGUUUUUUAAUUGAAUAAAAGACAAAGAUCUCCCUCCCUCAAGAAAAAAAAAAAAAAAAAAAAAAA